AAGCCCACAGCCUUUCGCGAGAUACACAGCUCGAAACGCUCCAGUUUAUUUAUAUAGCCCCUCCACCCUCUGCUCUUCCCACCCGUCCCCAAAUUCCCUAGAAAUCCAGCUAAGGUGUGGGGAAGAGGGGAAAGCGGUUUUUGUGGGGGGGGGGAUUAUUUAUUUUUGUUUUGUUUGGGGAUUGUUUUAUUUUGUUUUGUUUUUUUUUCUUUGCAUACAAAAAUAAGUGAAGAAGAUUUUGCAAGGGAAAGUGGCACAGCCCCUGUUUUGGACAGAAGGACGCUGUGCAAGGAAAAUGAACAUCAGUUCCCAGUGGCAGGAAAAAAAGUGACACGCCACAGAUUGCCCCCUUUCUAUGCUCACUAUUCUUGCAGAAUAGAUGGCACUGUAACCCGGGUUAGUCAGACUUGGUUUGGUCACCUUCCAGGUACUGGAGCAACAUAG
rnacentral:lncRNA from 1 species